rnacentral:rRNA from 1 species
AGCGAACGCUGGCGGCAGGCUUAACACAUGCAAGUCGAACGGGUAUCUUCGGAUACUAGUGGCAGACGGGUGAGUAACACGUGGGAACGUACCUUCGGUUCGGAAUAAUACAGGGAAACUUGUACUAAUACCGGAUACGCCCUUCGGGGGAAAGAUUUAUCGCCGAUAGAUCGGCCCGCGUCUGAUUAGCUAGUUGGUGAGGUAAUGGCUCACCAAGGCGACGAUCAGUAGCUGGUCUGAGAGGAUGAUCAGCCACACUGGGACUGAGACACGGCCCAGACUCCUACGGGAGGCAGCAGUGGGGAAUAUUGGACAAUGGGCGCAAGCCUGAUCCAGCCAUGCCGCGUGUGUGAUGAAGGCCUUAGGGUUGUAAAGCACUUUUGUCCGGGAAGAUAAUGACUGUACCGGAAGAAUAAGCCCCGGCUAACUUCGUG